rnacentral:rRNA from 1 species
UACGUAGGUGGCAAGCGUUGUCCGGAUUUAUUGGGUUUAAAGGGUGCGUAGGCGGUUCUUUAAGUCAGUGCUGAAAUACUCCAGCUUGACUGGAGGGGUGGCAUUGAUACUGGGGAACUUGAGUGUAGUCGAGGUAGGCGGAAUUGACGGUGUAGCGGUGAAAUGCUUAGAUAUCGUCAAGAACACCGAUGGCGAAGGCAGGUCUCUGGGCCACUACUGACGCUGAGAAGCGAAAGCAUGGGGAGCGAACAGG